rnacentral:rRNA from 1 species
AACGAACGCUGGCGGCAGGCCUAACACAUGCAAGUCGAGCGCUCUCUUCGGAGGGAGCGGCGGACGGGUUAGUAACGCGUGGGAAUGUACCCUUCUCUAAGGAAUAGCCAUUGGAAACGAUGAGUAAUACCUUAUACGCCCCCCGGGUCAAACUGGGGGGAAAGAUUUAUCGGAGAGGGAUCAGCCCGCGUAAGAUUAGAUAGUUGGUGGGGUAAUGGCCUACCAAGUCUACGAUCUUUAGCUGGUUUUAGAGGAUGAUCAGCAACACUGGGACUGAGACACGGCCCAGACUCCUACGGGAGGCAGCAAUGGGGAAUCUUGGACAAUGGGCGCAAGCCUGAUCCAGCCAUGCCGCGUGAGUGAUGAAGGCCUUAGGGUCGUAAAGCUCUUUCGCCAGAGAUGAUAAUGACAGUAUCUGGUAAAGAAGUCCCGGCUAACUCCGUG